CCUACGGGCGGCAGCAGUCGGGAAUAUUGCGCAAUGGAGGAAACUCUGACGCAGUGACGCCGCGUGCAGGAAGAAGGUUUUCGGAUUGUAAACUGCUUUAGAUAGAGAAGAUAAAAGACAGUACUUGUAGAAUAAGCUCCGGCUAACUACGUCCAAGCAGCCGCGGUAAAACGGAGGGAGGAAGCGUUAUCCGGAUGUAUUGGGUGUAAAGGGUGCGUAGGCGGGAAAGCAAGUUAGUUGUGAAAUCCCUCGGCUUAACUGAGGAACUGCAACUAAAACUACUUCCCUUGAGUACUGGAGAGGAAAGUGGAAUUCCUGGUGUAGCGGUGAAAUGCGUAGAGAUUAGGAGGAACACCAGUGGCGAAGGCGACUUUCUGGACAGUAACUGACGUUGAGGCACGAAAGUGUGGGGAGCAAACAGGAUUAGAUACCCCGGUAGUC
rnacentral:rRNA from 1 species